rnacentral:rRNA from 1 species
UACGUAGGCAGCAAGCGUUGUUCGGAGUUACUGGGCGUAAAGGGUGUGUAGGCGGUUGGAUAAGUGUGGUGUGAAAUCUCCCGGCUUAACUGGGAGGGUGCGCUACAAACUGUCUGACUAGAGUGUGGGAUGGGUAAGUGGAAUUCCUGGUGUAGCGGUGAAAUGCGUUGAUAUCGGAAGGAACGCCGGUGGCGAAAGCGGCG